rnacentral:rRNA from 1 species
AUUGAACGCUGGCGGCAUGCCUUACACAUGCAAGUCGAACGGUAACAGGUCUUCGGAUGCUGACGAGUGGCGAACGGGUGAGUAAUACAUCGGAACGUGCCUAGUAGUGGGGGAUAACUACUCGAAAGAGUGGCUAAUACCGCAUGAGAUCUACGGAUGAAAGCAGGGGAUCACAAGACCUGGUGCUACUAGAGCGGACGAUGGCAGAUUAGGUAGUUGGUGGGAUAAAAGCUUACCAAGCCGACGAUCUGUAGCUGGUCUGAGAGGACGAUCAGCCACACUGGGACUGAGACACGGCCCAGACUCCUACGGGAGGCAGCAGUGGGGAAUUUUGGACAAUGGGCGCAAGCCUGAUCCAGCAAUGCCGCGUGCAGGAUGAAGGCCUUCGGGUUGUAAACUGCUUUUGUACGGAACGAAAAGCCCCGGGUUAAUACCCUGGGGUCAUGACGGUACCGUAAGAAUAAGCACAGGCUAACUACGUGCCAGCAGCCGCCGCUG